UUCUAUAAUAAAUUCAAUUUGGCUCUUCACUAGUUACGCUUACACCUCCUACUAACUAUGGAAAGAAAUAAAUUAAAUUUUGGUACUAUAAACCGCUUUUGUAUGAAUGCAAGUUGAAACCUAUACUCACGUGCGCGUCUUCCUCUCGGAUCUACACUUCUAUGACACACUUUUAUAGGCUACAAAUCCUACAGAAUAUGUUAAAAUUCAGAUCCAUUUUGUUUUAACCUCUUUAGCAAACUCAACGCACUGACUUAUUUAAAGUUGAGGUUACGCAACAGAGAUUUGCGGGUUAAUAAAAUUAAAGAAAUUGAACAUGACACUUUUUUUUUAGGA